rnacentral:rRNA from 1 species
AGAGUUUGAUCCUGGCUCAGGAUGAACGCUGGCGGCGUGCCUAAUACAUGCAAGCCGAGCGAACAGACGAGGAGCUUGCUCCUCUGACGUUAGCGGCGGACGGGUGAGUAACACGUGGAUAACCUACCUAUAAGACUGGGAUAACUUCGGGAAACCGGAGCUAAUACCGGAUAAUAUAUUGAACCGCAUGGUUCAAUAGUGAAAGACGGUUUUGCUGUCACUUAUAGAUGGAUCCGCGCCGCAUUAGCUAGUUGGUAAGGUAACGGCUUACCAAGGCAACGAUGCGUAGCCGACCUGAGAGGGUGAUCGGCCACACUGGAACUGAGACACGGUCCAGACUCCUACGGGAGGCAGCAGUAGGGAAUCUUCCGCAAUGGGCGAAAGCCUGACGGAGCAACGCCGCGUGAGUGAUGAAGGUCUUCGGAUCGUAAAACUCUGUUAUUAGGGAAGAACAAAUGUGUAAGUAACUAUGCACGUCUUGACGGUACCUAAUCAGAAAGCCACGGCUAACUACGUGCCAGCAGCCGCGGUAAUACGUAGGUGGCAAGCGUUAUCCGGAAUUAUUGGGCGUAAAGCGCGCGUAGGCGGUUUUUUAAGUCUGAUGUGAAAGCCCACGGCUCAACCGUGGAGGGUCAUUGGAAGCUGGAAAACUUGAGUGCAGAAGAGGAAAGUGGAAUUCCAUGUGUAGCGGUGAAAUGCGCAGAGAUAUGGAGGAACACCAGUGGCGAAGGCGACUUUCUGGUCUGUAACUGACGCUGAUGUGCGAAAGCGUGGGGAUCAAACAGGAUUAGAUACCCUGGUAGUCCACGCCGUAAA